rnacentral:snRNA from 1 species
CUAGGCGGGGGUCACCAUGAUCAUGAAGGAGGUUCACCCAAGGUGAGGCUCAGUCAUUGGACAUUCCGGUUGGGUUGACCCCUGCGAAUUCCCUAAAUGUGAGAAUCUUGAUUGCAUAAUUCCUGGUAAUGCAAAAACACCCUACUCUAAUCUGUA